CUGAGUGAGGGUUCCGGCCCGACCUCCAACCCCAUGUUUUCCGACUCUGUUGCCUCGGGGGCGACCCGGCCUUCGGGCGUCGGGGCCCCCGGUGGUCCACAUCAACUCUGCAUCUGUGCGUCCGAGUCAAUAUUGAAUCAAUCA
rnacentral:misc_RNA from 1 species